rnacentral:tRNA from 1 species
AGAAAGUGACAGAGUGGAUAUGUGCCUGGCUUGAAACCAGGAGAUGGGGGUUUGAUUCCCUCCUUUCUC